rnacentral:rRNA from 1 species
UACAGAGGGUGCGAGCGUUAAUCGGAAUUACUGGGCGUAAAGCGUGCGUAGACGGUAGCGUAAGUCAGAUGUGAAAGCCCCGGGCUCAACCUGGGAAUGGCAUUUGAGACUGCUCUGCUCGGGUGCGGAAGAGGGAAGCGGAAUUUCCGGUGUAGCGGUGAAAUGCGCAGAUAUCGGGAGGAACACCGGUGGCGAAGGCGGUUCUUUGGGCCUGUACUGACGCUGAGGAGCGAAAGCGUGGGGAGCGAACAGG